rnacentral:rRNA from 1 species
UACAGAGGUCCCAAGCGUUGUUCGGAUUCAUUGGGCGUAAAGGGUGCGUAGGUGGCGCCGUAAGUGGGGUGUGAAAUUUCGGAGCUUAACUCCGAAACUGCAUUCCAUACUGCGGUGCUUGAGGACUGGAGAGGAGACUGGAAUUCAUGGUGUAGCAAUGAAAUGCGUAGAGAUCAUGAGGAAGACCAGUGGCGAAGGCGGGUCUCUGGACAGUUCCUGACACUGAGGCACGAAGGCUAGGGGAGCGAACGGG